GACGUAGGAUGCGAGCGUUAUUCGGAUUUAUUGGGCGUAAAGCGUGCGUAGGCGGCUGUUUAAGUCUGGUGUUAAAGCUAGGGGCUCAACCCCUGUGGUGCAUCGGAUACUGGGCAGCUUGAGUGCGGUAGGGGAAGGUGGAAUUCCGAGUGUAGCGGUGAAAUGCGUAGAUAUUCGGAAGAACACCAGUGGCGAAGGCGGCCCGCUGGGCAGUGGCUGACGCUGAGGCGCGACAGCGUGGGGAGCAAACAGG
rnacentral:rRNA from 1 species